UAAUUCUAAGCUUUCUAAUUGCUAAGCAUUUCAUUGAGGGAUUAGUCAUUGGGCUUGAGUUGCCUAAUGGAAUCAGUCAUUUUCCAUGCCACUGAACACAAGUCAGGACAUUUCAAUGGCAGCUGUGAGCUAACUGAAUUGGGUGUGUAUUUGGUGUGUUUCUGCACGCCUACAUCUUCAAAAGCAGAGGACAAAGAACACUGACAAGACAAAGAACACUGACAAGACAAACAAGAGGACAUUCUGCAGAGCACCAGACCAACACUCUUCAAAACUCAAGGUCAUCAAAAACAAGGAACUUCUGAGAAACAAUCACAGCCCAGAGGAGACUAAGGAGACAUGACAAGUAAAUGUGAUGUAUGAUCUUGGAUGGGAUCCUGGAACAGAAACAGAACAAGGACAUCAGUGAUAUCAAAAGUGACCUUGUCACCAUGUGAGGAUACAGCAAGAAGGUGGUCAUCUGCAAACCAAGGAGUGACGGAUGUCUCAGAGAAAGCAAACCUGCCAGAAACUUAAUUUGGACUUCCAACUUCCAGGGCUAUGAGAAAAUAAAUUUCUAUUAUUUAAGCCAAAAAAAAAAA